UGCAGUCGAGCGGUAGAGAGGUGCUUGCACCUCUUGAGAGCGGCGGACGGGUGAGUAAAGCCUAUGAAUCUGCCUGGUAGUGGGGGAUAACGCGUCGGAAACGGACGCAUGUACUGCAUACGUCCUACGGGAGAAAGCAGGGGACCUUCGGGCCUUGCGCUAUCAGAUGAGCCUAGGUCGGAUUAGCUAGUUGGAGAGGUAAUGGCUCACCAAGGCGACGAUCCGUAACUGGUCUGAGAGGAUGAUCAGUCACACUGGAACUGAGACACGGUCCAGACUCCUACGGGAGGCAGCAGUGGGGAAUAUUGGACGAUGGGCGAAAGCCUGAUCCAGCCAUGCCGCGUGUGUGAAGAAGGUCUUCGGAUUGUAAAGCACUUUAAGUUGGGAGGAAGGGCAUUAACCUAAUACGUUAGUGUUUUGACGUUACCGACAGAAUAAGCGCCGGCUAACUCUGUGCCAGCAGCCGCGGUAAUACAGAGGGUGCAAGCGAUAAUCGGAAUUACUGGGCGUAAAGCGCGC
rnacentral:rRNA from 1 species